CGAUGAUGUCGGAGGGCAAGCGUUCUCUUUCUCAUGCUCUCCAUUAUUUCUUCAGUUAAUCCAUUCUAUAAACCCACAUUACCCUUUCUCAUAAUUUCCAUCCGAUGAUCAAUAACUGUACAUGUCACGCCACCUAGCCUGCUGCUUCCCUCUUCUUUUCCCUUCUUGAUCCAACGCUUCACUUAACUUCUCCUCUACCGCCUCUGUUUCUUGAAAUCGAAGCCUCUCACCCCAAACAUCAACUUAUACGCUCCAACCCUACUGAAGAGAAAACUUGAAAUAUUCUUUGGUCUGAUCUCAGCUAAUCAAACGUCCAGAACCAUGAAGCAAAGCAGAGAAUGAUUUUCAUCCCCUUUUUUCAUCGACAUGUCUGCUUUCACCCAAAUCGACGCCUCUCACAGGCGAUGGUCAUAGUGGAGGUAGCGUUUGUUUUUGCCAGUCUGAUUCGACUAUUUGUUUCCCAAUUUCACAAUGUUGAGGUAUUUUUGAACCAUGUUGGUUUUAAUUUGUUAUUUGGGAAUGCAACAGUCUCAUACAGACAAGUUGUGAAGAGCGUUUAUUGCUGAAGAAUCUGUAAUUUUGUUUGUUUUCAUCAUCUUGACUAGGUGCGAUAUAUGAUAAGUUUACUUAUUAACUUGUGUAGGCUUAUGAAAGGGUUUAAUGAUCGGGAUAAUUCCAGUUACCUCCAAGGU
rnacentral:lncRNA from 1 species